AUUCCAGCUCCAAUAGCGUAUAUUAAAGUUGUUGCGGUUAAAAAGCUCGUAGUUGGAUUUCUGCUGAGGACGACCGGUCCGCCCUCUGGGUGAGUAUCUGGCUCGGCCUUGGCAUCUUCUUGGGGAACGUAACUGCACUUGACUGUGUGGUGCGGUAUCCAGGACUUUUACUUUGAGGAAAUUAGAGUGUUUCAAGCAGGCGCACGCCUUGAAUACAUUAGCAUGGAAUAAUAAGAUAGGACCUUGGUUCUAUUUUGUUGGUUUCUAGAGCUGAGGUAAUGAUUAAUAGGGAUAGUUGGGGGCAUUAGUACUUUGCUGUCAGAGGUGAAAUUCUCGGAUUUGCAAAUGACUAACUUAUGCGAAAGCAUUUGCCAAGGAUGUUUUCAUCG
rnacentral:rRNA from 1 species